UGGAAGGGGUGCUGGUGGCUGUCACCCCCAUGGGCAUUUUAUUCUCUUGUCCAGGCUUCACAGAGCUGUCACAGGAUGGGGAAGUGUCUCUGGGCAUACAGUGCGUCCAAGUGUUUGCUAGAGAGAAAACAAAAGCAUCCCGCAUCCCGGCUCAGCCACACAUCCCUGAUGCUUCAGGUGAUGUUGGGGUUCACAUCCUGCAUCCCGGGGUGCAGCAGUGAGAUGAACAGCCCGAUUCCUUCAUCCCGUGUGUUCCCAGCUCGGAAUCUUCCAUCCAGGCUGCUGUUGCCCCUUUCCCAAUGGUUUUGGGGGUGAUUUUGGGUCCCCCCCACCUCCAAAGGGCUGGGAUCAGAUGCCCAUUGCUGGGAGCAGGUGCUGGGUCAAUCCUGCACCCUUGUGAGGUGCAGGAUGGGCAGGAUGGGACCCGCUGGAAUGGCGGAGCUCCACCUCCUGAAGGUGCCACCUCCCGCAGGGACAUUAUAAAGGAUGAGCUGUCCCCAGAUCCCAGCCCAGAGAGAGCCUGGAGCAGGGACCCCGCAGGGAGACGUGCUUGAAGCAGCUCAUUGUGCUGGUUCCUGGAGGCAGCGAGGCCCCAAAUCUGCCCCAAGGAGGGGUCUUGGCCAGAGCGGGAGCCGAAUCCCAUUGGCAUUGCAGGACCGAGGAGGAUGCAAAAGGCCUCGGCUGGGAAAACUUCUCUUUAGAAGAACCCCAAAUGUCAGCUCUAAAUUGGGUGUGAGACGCUCCUGCUCCGUCUCUUCAUUACUGUAUCGUAAAAUUACAUUAGCUGGCACCGAUCUGCAUUCAAAUGACUCUGUGUCUGGAAUGAUAACGGGGGAAUAUGAGAUUAAAAUGUAAUUACGCUCUUUAAAGUCAAGGAAGGUUAAUAAAAUGUUUAUUUCCAAGUUGCAGAGGCUCCGCAGCCACAACACGGAA